rnacentral:rRNA from 1 species
AGCAGUCGCCGCGGGAAUACGGAGGGUGCAAGCGUUAAUCGGAAUUACUGGGCGUAAAGCGCACGCAGGCGGUCUGUCAAGUCAGAUGUGAAAUCCCCGGGCUUAACCUGGGAACUGCAUUUGAAACUGGCAGGCUAGAGUCUUGUAGAGGGGGGUAGAAUUCCAGGUGUAGCGGUGAAAUGCGUAGAGAUCUGGAGGAAUACCGGUGGCGAAGGCGGCCCCCUGGACAAAGACUGACGCUCAGGUGCGAAAGCGUGGGGAGCAAACAGGAUUAGAUACCCCGGUAGUCCCUGUCUCUUAUAC